AUGAAGAUCAAGAGUGGAAAAGAGAUAGUGGAAGAAGUAAGGAAGAUUGAGAAGAACAUCAACGCCGGCAGCACUAUUUCUUCACAGCUAGAGCUGAGUAUUUUUGGGAUAUCCAUUGAGGUGUGUAAGUUUCCAACACCGUCACAUCCAGCUGAGCAAGAUAGGAAGAGUCUAGAGGAAGAGAUACCUCAAAUUGAAGAAGAUGAACUCAAAGACAAGGAACAAGAGGAUCCAGAGCUCGAAAGCCCAAGAAAUCAAGUUGAAGACUCAUCACCUAUUACUCUUGAAGAAGUAGAAGAAGCUGUUGUAGUUGAAGAUGAAGAACCAGAAAUUCAUUUGCUGAUUGUCAUAUAA
rnacentral:rRNA from 1 species